CUACCUUGUUACGACUUCACCCCAGUCGCGAAUCCUACCAUGUCGUCGCCCUCACCCGGUCCCAAACUAUCGCCUGGUAAAACCCACUCCCAUGGUGUGACGAGCGGUAUGUGUACAGACCCGGGAACGUAUUCACCGCAGCAUACUGAUCCGUGAUUACUGGCGAUUCCGACUUCGCGCAGUCAGUUGCGAACUGAUCCGGACUGCAGAUAUCGGGUUUCUGGGAUUAUCCCCCUCGCCGGUUGGCGACCCUCUGUCCCGACCAUUAUACAUGACGCGAUGACCCUACCCAUAAGGAGCCAUGAGGACUGACGUCUUACCUUCACUCCGGUUUUGUCACCGGCAGUCUCAUCGUUCACCACCGUGUAACCAAUACAACGGGUUGCUCGUUAGAGCUUAACUAGCCUCUACACGACACGAGCUGACGACAAUAUACAGCACCUGUGUUCCAGUUUCUCUUGCGAGCCUUUCCAAAUCUCUUGGGAUUCAGACAUGUCAAGGGUAGGUAAGGUUUUUUCGCGUUCCAUCGAUUAAUCCUCAUCUACCGCUUGUGCGGUCCCCGUCAAUUCCUUUGAGUUUUAAUCUUUGCGACCGUACUCCCCAGGCGGUCAACUUCACGCGUUAGCUGCGCUACCAGGGCCCAGGCCCGCAGCUAGUUGACAUCGUUUAGGGCGUGGACUACCAGGGUAUCUAAUCCUGUUUGCCCACUUUAGUACUGGUGUCGAUAUUAUCCAGAGGCUGCCUUCGCCAUCAGUAUUCCUCCGCAUAUCUACGCAUUACUACACGCGGAAUUCCUGCCUCUGUUUAUCUGGCUCGUGUUCGUAGUUCAAAGUUAAGCUCUGGGAUUUCACAUCUUUCUUUCCGAACCGCCUGCGCACGCUUUACGCCCAGUAAUUCCGAUUAACGCUUACCCUACAGCUACUACCGCAUGCGGCACGUAGUUGGCGGUGCUUAUUCUGCAGGUACAAAUCAGUUGCACGGGGUAUUAUCCCGUGCCGUUUCUUUCCUGCCAAAAGUGCUUUUUGACUUCAGAGAGCCUUCAUCACGCACACGCGGGAUGGCUGGAUCAGGGUUUCCCCCAUUAUCCAAAAUUCCACCCACUGCUGCCUCCCGUAGGAGUGGGCCGUGUCUCCAGUCUGAUGUGUGGUCGUCCUCGCAAACCAGCUACGGAUCGUCGCCUUGGUGAGCCAUUUUACCAGCUAGCUAAUCCGAUAUCGGCUACACUCAACAUUACGAGGCCCGAAGGUCCCCCGCUUUCCCCGAAGGGCGUAUGCGGUAUUAGCUACGCUUUCGCGUAGUUAUCCCCCGCUACUAGGCACGUUCCGAUACAUUACCCAUACUCACCCGUUCGCCACUCACCACUAAGGCCAAAGUCGUGCUGCCGUUCUGUUUGCAUGUGUAAAGCAUCCCGCCAGCGUUCAAUCUGAGCCAUGAUCGAACUCACUCUAUUACUCUUCGUCUCCGAACUGG
rnacentral:rRNA from 1 species